rnacentral:lncRNA from 10 species
AGAGAUUCACUAAGAACAACUUCUUUGUUGAGAAGAAUCCAACUAUUGUCAAUUUCCCUAUUACAAAUGUGGAUCUGAGAGAAUACUUGUCUGAAGAAGUACAAGCAGUACACAAGAAUACCACCUAUGACCUCAUUGCCAACAUCGUGCAUGACGGCAAGCCCUCCGAGGGCUCCUACCGGAUCCACGUGCUUCAUCAUUUAAUUGAGAUGGGGUUGUGCUAUGAUGCUCAUGCUGGUCUCAAGCAAUCCUCCCGCCUCAGCUUCUGAAACUGCUGGGAUUACAGGUAUGAGCCACCAUGCCUGGCUGGCAUUUGAUGUUUUGAAGUUCCCUGAGAGACCCUGAUAUGCAGCCAAGGUUGAGAACCUCUGCCCUAGACUAGAGCCUUACCAUCCAAAGUGGGAUGCAUCCUUGGACCAAUAACAUCAGCAUCAGUCUUGUUAGAAAUCAGCUUGUUAGAAAUGCAGACUCUCAGUCCCCUCAAACCUACCACAUCAGAACCUGGAUUUUAACGUGACCCUCUGAUUUGUAAGAAAUUAAAGUUUGCGAAGCAC